CCUGCUGGGCAAGAAAAUGCAUCAUCAGCAUGAGCCUAAGCCUUCCUGGAGCAUCCAGAGAUCCCAGGGGCUCUUCCAGAGAAACCCACUCCUUGGUUCCAGUGACAGUGACAUUGCUUCAUUGGGGUGCAACCAUCCCAAUCCACUCUGAGCAACAAUUAAUCUUCAGGAGUGCAGGCUGGACCCUGGCAAGCAGAGCCUGUGCAUUUGGAAUGCAAGCUUCCUUCCUAAGCAGUUUCCCUAUAUUCCAGUGUUAAUGUAGAGUGAAUGGUUUAAGGAAGGGUCAGGGAAUGUAAGCAACAGGUAUUUCUCAUAUGAUCUUCACAGGGCAAGGUGGAGUGGCUUUCAAGUGAAAGAAGACAGGUUUAGAUUGGACAUUAGUAAGAAAUUCUUCCCUGUGAGGGUGGUGAGGCCCUGGCACAGGGUGCCCAGAGAAGCUGUGGCUGUCCCUGGAUCCCUGGAAGUGUCCAAGGCCAGAUUGGAUGGGGCUUGGAGCAGCCUGGGAUGGGGGAAGGUGUCCUUCCUUCCCAUAGCACGUGGGGAAAAAGGUAGUCUUUAAGGUCCCUCCCAACCCAGCCAUUCCAUGGUUCUGUCCCCAGAGCGGAAGAAACCUCUGCCCUGAUCAGGAAAAGCUGAAAAAUUUUUGUGCUGCUCCUCGAUCCAAGGGCUGUUGCAGGCACUGCAUGGCAAGGACUGUCCUCUCUGGGGACCCUGGCCUGGGCCCCAAACCCUCAGAUUCCUUGGCACUAGAUGGAGCACGUGAGCUUCCACCAAGGAAAGCCAGAGCAGCCCUGGAGAAGAUCCUGCACUGUCUGAGCAGCUCUGUUCAGUUUUGGUUUGCCUGUCCAGCCCUGCCGGGGAGGUACUGGGGCAGAGGGAGGUGGGGUAGCCUCAUUUUCCCCAGCAGAGCCUUCAGUUCAUGCCUGAGGGCUCGGGUCCAUCUUAUUUCCAUGCUCUCCCUGCCCCUGGCGUCUCCUGCAGCUGGAUGGUUGUUGGCACCAAAGGCAGCAGGUGUGCUGGAAGAGGAAAAGGAAGAGGAAAAGACCUGAUUGCUGUGGAGCAAAUUCCCCAUCCAUGGCAUGAUCCAGAAUUGGAUCUGCUGGAGGCAAGUUCAUCAAAUGUGGGAUGCACAAUGAAUCCAUUCUGGGCUCUGUCUCUGAUUCACCACGUGCCAUGAGUCCAGCAAUUCAUCACUACCUGAAGCUUUCCUGACUUCCCUGGCAGUUGCAGGAAGGUGCAUGGACACCCUGUGGAAGCAGAUCUCCAGGAGAACCAUCCACCUCAUACCUGGCAAGCAGAUCCAGGUUCCUCCAGUUUUCCAGCAGGAUUUGCAGUGGGUGGUCACAGACUGGAGAGCUUGGCAGCUUUUUCAGUGCUGCUGUUUGCUGCAGGAACCACACAUUUUUACCCUUGUAUGGAAUAAUCACGUCCUGAUGAAAUCCAGGAUUUGUGCAGCCAAGCUGACUUUGCAAGUGCCACCACCUUUUGCAACCAACCCUGCCUUUCCUGAUCCUCUUCCUCAGCUCUUCUAAUCCUUCUUCCUAAACCAAUCCUGAGCCAGAAGAGCUGUCCUGGAGGACAGCUCCCAAUCCAUUUCUCCUGUACUGGGCAGCAGCUCCCAAACCAGGGUGCCCUUAUCUCUGUACAUCCCUGUGCAGAGGGUCGUUGGCUGCCCCAGCCUGCCCUGAGUGCCCCACCUUGCUGAUGCAUCUGCAGCCCUCCCUCAGGGCACAGGGGAGGCCCAGUGCAGCCUUUCCCUUCUCCCACCACCCUGUCUUGGAGCGUGUGGGAAGCUCAGUGCUCCUGGGAGGUUGGGAUGAGUCAGUGUUUGCCAGUCCUGAGUCACUCCAGGGAGUAGCCAGAGAGGAGGGGGGGGAUGCCCAGCCUCAUCUGGGGGUGUAAAUAUCCCAGGAAGUUCUGUCUGAAAGAAAAUUCCCAUUGAGAGGUCACCACCUUGUAGGGUUGCUUCCAGCAGGGCCACCACCAUGGACCACAUAUGUCACUCCAUGAGAAGAAGUUAUUUCCUGGCCCUGCUUCCAUGUGAAUCCUUCCACAUGGCCCACACCUGGUUAUUUGGGAGGGGUGCCACAUCCCCAUCCCAUGGCUGUCCUUGGAAACUUCCUGGGACAUGCCAAGGGGUUCCUCUUGGCAGCUCCCUCAGAGCAAGUUUGUGGAGCCAGGGCAUCCAACACGCCAGGGAGGCCAUGGAGGAAUGCCAGGCAAGUUCUCAAAGCAGGACUUUUGGGAUGUCUUUUGAGUAGAAUAAUUCCCAGUCCUCCCACUUAUUGCAAUUUUUAUCACUAUUUUUGGGCUUUUUUGAGCUAGAGAUGCUCCUGAACUCCUGGAGGCUUUGGGAGUGAAUUGGCUCAGGAGUCUAUCCCUGGUGCUUAAAGCAGGUUUAAGAUUUAGAGGGGGGAGUGGACACCCUUGCUGACACCCCCACAGGCACCUUGUCCUCUGUGCCUUGAUGAACCCCCAGAGAGCACCACAGGAUACUUCAAAUACAUACCCAGGCUCUAGAUUUUUACCUCCAUUUCAAGCUUGACUGGGAUAAAUUCCCAGGUCAAGAAGAGCUGGAAGAACCACCCCAGGAUUUUCUAUUCUCAGAGUCCCUGCCUUUAACAUGAACUAAAUUUUCUGUGCUUGCUCAGAGCAGAGGCUGAGCAGGGAAUGAGGCCAGAAAAACAGGGGGUCAUGUCAGACUUUCUUUUUCUCUCCUCUUAACACUGAAAUAAAAAUACAUCUCGAGCUUGUUUUGGGAUUAACAAGAAAAAAUUCCUCUUGAUGGGAACCAUCUGUGGCCGGGAGAUGCCGGCUGCUCUCUGCUUCCCACCCAGACGCUGUCAUUUGGGGUGUGUUCCUCUCCCAAAUAUUAUUCCUCUCAUCCCUGUGCUGAUGGGAGGAAUCCCAACUAUUUAAGGAGGCUUUUCUCCCAUCAUUUCAAGGCAGCAGCAGCUGGUGACACCUCUGGAGGAUAAUAUUUGCUCUCCUCAUUACAGCCCCAGUGCCCAGCACAGCUUGCUGGUGGCUGCUGGGCUUGGAGGGGAACCACUGCAAGUGUCUUGGGUGUGGCCUUUCCACCCCAGACAUCACCUCGGGGUCAAAGCAAACACCUCGAGGCCUCUCUGGCCUGUCCCACAAAGCAGGAGGGGAAAUGGAGGUUCCCUGGCUCAGCCUCUGCUGUGCUGCUGGAAAUAAGUGCAUUAGUGCUGGUCCCUUCAUGGUGUCGAAGAAUGAGGACAUUUCUGGGGUGGACCUUGGCCCCAGCUGAGUUUUUGGGGUGGGAACUGGGUUGGGUUGGCAACAGGACGAUGAAGAGGUGCAUUUGCAGCAUCAGAAACUCCAGAGAGAUUUGGAGCAGAGAGGAGCCUCCAAGGCCAGGAAGAGGAGAAGAAGCUCAAGGUGAAUCCAGCAGAACCCAGGGCAGGUCUGGCCCGGGAGGAAAGGCUGGAAAUGUUUCUCUGCUCUUUCCAUGCAGAAGAAGAGGCUGCCUGGCUGAAAUGUCUCCUCCUGGGAUCAGCUCCUGGCAGGUUGAGCAGGAAGCUGGGAUCAAGACAAGCCCAGCAGGUUCUGGGCUGUGAAUCCUCCUGGAUGGCAGCACAUCCCUGACCUGGGAUCCAAGAGCUGAACUGAAAUGGACCCAAAUGAGCAUUAUGGGGGCUUUCCCAAAGCUGGCUGGAUGAAGGAUUUUUGUGUGGGCCUUGACAUCUUCAGAGUGAUCCAGGCCUGGCUUGGGAGGUGGUUUGGAUUCAUUUGGAGAAAAGAGGGCAGGACAUUCAGGCCAUGCUUACCCUGCCCUCCUGCUUGUCCCUCAAUGUGGGGACCCCCCAGUUCCUGUACUCUGCCAGGACUGAGCUAAUCCUCACCUCUCCUCCAUGGAGCCCAGCAGGAGCUGGUUGGAGUGAAGGAUGCUGCUCCCUCCUUCCCCCUGGGGCUGGCACGAAGCAUCACAGUGGCACUGGGGGAUUUUGUCCUCCAGCAGAUGAAAGCAGAAAGCUUUCCAUCUUUGAGGCUGGAAAAAUCCAUCCCCCAGAGAGGGGCUUGGCCCUGCAGCUGGGGGUGCAGCCCACGCUCCCAUCCCAGGAAUGUGGGAUGUUCUGGUGCUGCUUUGCCCAGCCCUGCUCUGACCACAGGCUGGGAACAGGCCUGGCUGCUCUCAGAAUAUUCCAUGGAUCUCUGAACCCAUGGCUGUUGUAAGGUGCUCACCCAAAGCUGCUGUUGUGCAAGGAGGACUCAUCUUUCCAAGAUCUUUUAACAAAUCCCUCCUGGGCCGAGACACCCCAAAAUGGCUUUUGCAGAGAAGGGUGUUUGUGUUACUGAUGCUUGGAAAGCUGAAUGCAGGUGCUGUGCUUCACCCAUCAAAAAGCAAUUUACAGAUUAAAUUUGUAAAAAUUUAUAUAAACUGCUGGAACAGCAUCAAAUUGUAGAACAGCAUAUUGUAACAGGAAGAAAAUUUGCUGUUUAAAAUUUUGUUUUAUUAGAAAUAGAGAGAAAUGGAUUCACAUAACAUUUUUCAGACAGUGAGGUUUUGAACUCUGGGGGUUUCAUUUCAGCAGUGUUUGUGCACACACACUCCAUCUCAGGCAGGCUGAGCUGAGGCUGGGAUGGGUUUUUCAUCCUCUGUGAUGGGAUAAAACCCCACAUCUCCAUCCACGAAAACUCUGGGAUGGAGAGGAUCAGAAGACUGAUGCUCCCCCUGACCUGGCUGAAUAACAGGGGCUUUGUUCAGGGAUCCAGGUCAGGGAUUUUAUUUCAGUACCUGCAAAGAAGCUAUGAGAAGAAUGCAGUGGGUUCCUCCCAGCCUGGAGAAACGCAGAGAUAUCUCCAAAGGUGUUUAAUAUUAACUGGAGCAGGGCACAUCCCUGAAGGGUUUGAUUGUGAGCCUAUCUGUGUUUGUAUCCAAACAUCACCUGCAAAUCCAUAGCGUGGCCAGAGCUGGAGGAGGUGAAAGUCCUCCUGGAGGGAGCUGGAUCAAUAAUGGGUUUGUCAAUAAAGAUCAUCCCGUGCUGGCACCAGGAA